AACCUCCGCAAUGUGAGAAAUCGCGACGGGGGGAUCCCAAGUGCCAUUCUUAACGGGAUGGCUUUUCAUUAGUGUAAAGAGCUUUUGGAAUAAGGGCUGGGCAAGACCGGUGCCAGCCGCCGCGGUAACACCGGCAGCUCUAGUGGUAGCAGUUUUUAUUGGGCCUAAAGCGUCCGUAGCCGGUUUAAUAAGUCUCUGGUGAAAUCCUGUAGCUUAACUGUGGGAAUUGCUGGUGAUACUGUUGAACUUGAGGUCGGGAGAGGUUAGCGGUACUCCCAGGAUAGAGGUGAAAUUCUGUAAUCCUGGGAGGACCACCUGUGGCGAAGGCGGCUAACUGGAACGAACCUGACGGUGAGGGACGAAAGCUAGGGGCGCGAACCGGAUUAGAUACCCGGGUAGUCCUAGCCGUAAACGAUGCGGACUUGGUGUUGGGAUGGCUUUGAGCCGCUCCGGUGCCGAAGGGAAGCUGUUAAGUCCGCCGCCUGGGAAGUACGGUCGCAAGACUGAAACUUAAAGGAAUU
rnacentral:rRNA from 1 species